CCUCGUACCGGGAUGCUGCGGGAGCGAUCGGCGCGUCGGAAGACCGAGGGUGGCGAUGGAGCUCGGCAGGAGGACCGGGACAAGGAUCGGGGCCAGGACCGGGACCGCGACCGGAGGAGCGAGGCGGCCCCAGGAGCUGGCACUGACCGUGCCGCGGGUCGGGCACAGGCUGCUCCCAGCUCUGCCUGCGGAACUUCGGCAAUUACCGACAGCAGUUCUUUGCCCUGCCAUCCAGAAGGUGCGGCUCAUCUGACACCAGCCAGACGGGGAAGGCCCUGCCUGGGAGGGAAACGGCUACAGGGGAGGAAACCAAGAAAUGCUCCAACCGGAUGGUGCUGCGCGAGUCAAAAGAGGGGCAAGACCGCGGGCAAAUACAGUCAGGAAAUGAGCUUUUAUUCAAUCUCUGCAGGAGCCCUUCGCAGCCACGGGCCGGAGGGAGCGCGGCCGGCU